rnacentral:rRNA from 1 species
GAAUCAGUGUGUGUGUUAGUGGAAGCGUCUGGAAAGGCGCGCGAUACAGGGUGACAGCCCCGUACACAAAAAUGCACAUGCUGUGAGCUCGAUGAGUAGGGCGGGACACGUGGUAUCCUGUCUGAAUAUGGGGGGACCAUCCUCCAAGGCUAAAUACUCCUGACUGACCGAUAGUGAACCAGUACCGUGAGGGAAAGGCGAAAAGAACCCCGGCGAGGGGAGUGAAAAAGAACCUGAAACCGUGUACGUACAAGCAGUGGGAGCACGCUUAGGCGUGUGACUGCGUACCUUUUGUAUAAUGGGUCAGCGACUUAUAUUCUGUAGCAAGGUUAACCGAAUAGGGGAGCCGAAGGGAAACCGAGUCUUAACUGGGCGUUAAGUUGCAGGGUAUAGACCCGAAACCCGGUGAUCUAGCCAUGGGCAGGUUGAAGGUUGGGUAACACUAACUGGAGGACCGAACCGACUAAUGUUGAAAAAUUAGCGGAUGACUUGUGGCUGGGGGUGAAAGGCCAAUCAAACCGGGAGAUAGCUGGUUCUCCCCGAAAGCUAUUUAGGUAGCGCCUCGUGAAUUCAUCUCCGGGGGUAGAGCACUGUUUCGGCAAGGGGGUCAUCCCGACUUACCAACCCGAUGCAAACUGCGAAUACCGGAGAAUGUUAUCACGGGAGACACACGGCGGGUGCUAACGUCCGUCGUGAAGAGGGAAACAACCCAGACCGCCAGCUAAGGUCCCAAAGUCAUGGUUAAGUGGGAAACGAUGUGGGAAGGCCCAGACAGCCAGGAUGUUGGCUUAGAAGCAGCCAUCAUUUAAAGAAAGCGUAAUAGCUCACUGGUCGAGUCGGCCUGCGCGGAAGAUGUAACGGGGCUAAACCAUG